rnacentral:tRNA from 1 species
GGAGAGAUGGCAGAGUGGUUGAAUGCGGCGGUCUUGAAAACCGUUAUUUCCAGCGAUGGAAAUCGGGGGUUCGAAUCCCCCUCUCUCCUCCA